UACUUGGAUAAUUGAAAUUAAAAGUUCCUUUAAAGCACUAUGCUAGAAUUAAAUUAUGAUAGGUCUAGUCUUAAACCCAUACUGACGACAUGUUGAAAUACUUUGGGUGCUAGACUUUUCAUCAUCGAAUCCGCUAGCAUAAUAUUAGUACUGAUGUGCACGAUACAAAUAUAAUUUUCCUCCACUUGCUCUAAAAAAACAAGUAUUUUGUAUCGAGAUAAAUUCCCACUCUGCUUUAGCUAUUUCGAGUGAAAUUUUUUAUAAAGGCAAAGUUAUAGGAAUUUACCUCUUUUAACAUAAUAGAACUGGAAUUUACAAUAAUGAGCCUUGUGAUUAAAUUUCUCAACAAGAUUCGAUGGCAAGUUGCAUUAUAUAUGACAACAUAUUUUGCCAUCAUAGUGGAUAUAGUCAUCAAUUUUACUUAUGACUCUUCCAUGAUAUUCGCUGGCUAAUAACAUAAAGAUGUAUCCCAAUAAUGACUAUUCAUCUUUGUAUUUUGCAAAGUAGAGUAAAAAAACAUAUCAUUUCCAAGUUGUAACUUCUUUUAUAAACAAGUUUGUAAUUAUCAGUCUCAUCACAAAACUUUCUUGGCAACAUUUCAAGGAUCAAUACCAUGAUUUGAUUGAUGACGGCUCAUCAGGCCAAUAAUAUAAGCGAUUUCGGGACGAAUAUAAACUUUGGCAAACAUAAACUUCUAAUUACUUAAGCAUAAGAUAUUAAUUUCAUUUGAUCUUGUUGUACCUUUAUUUUUAGCAUGGUUGUAUAAAUCGGCCUAGGGGGACGAUUAAUCGGUGCCUAGAUGCUUAGUGGUCUCCAUCCGCCUACGAAUAAGGGUUAGAGGGUAAAAUAAUUGGCCUUAGUCAAUAUCGGUCAAAAUCGGUACAACUCGGUCCAAAUCGGACUAAAUCGGUCCAACUCGGACUCAAAAUUGGGCCAAAUCGGUCCAGCUAACCAGGCUCGAAAGAACCAGCUAGCACACCGAGUAGUUGGGUUUGAAUUUUUAAAGGAACCUAAGUCUCCUUUUAUAAGAUAUGGGUGCCUUUGUUUAUUUUCCCACCAGCGAUGUGGGAUGACAAACUUGUAACAAUUCUAUACAUAUUUGCACAUGAUGGUCUAUUGGUUCACAACUCCACCGAUUCAAUUCAAACUCAUUGUGAUGUCGUUUUCUGCUAGAUCGAACGCGGAAAUUGGUAAAGUCGACUCUCUCACGACUUAAGGACAAAAGAAGUAAAACAUCAAAAAGUUGAAUCUUCUUCCUCCGUUCACGCUAUCGCCUUUUGCUCUAGUUUAUCAUCCUCCUCCAACCUUGUUGUUGCAUUGUCGACUCAAAGUUGUUGCCCUUCUCCUCCGAUGUCAUCCAUGACUCUGAAAGCCCUUUGACCCAGUCCUUAUCAUCUAUGAAGUUCUUUACUAUUGCUGCUCAUUCAUCAAAAUCUUCAAAGUCAAAGAAAAAAAGGAUUCAAAGCAAAAAGGAAUAGAGAAACAAAUCUUGAAAUGAAUCAGCCGAAGAAACCAAGAGGGAGACCAAGAAAGAAAGCUUCUAAUAAUGUUCUUGCUCCCUUAACAUUCACAAUGUAGUAGUUGGUUAUUUAGAUGUGAUGUAUUAAGAAUCAAAGGAUUUUUUUGUAAUCAUAGUUUCAUGUUACUAAUGUUAUAUUUAUUAAAUUUUUAA